rnacentral:lncRNA from 1 species
AUGACAAGUGUCCUGGUGAGGACAGCUCUCCACCUAGACACUAGAUGACUUGCUGUCUCACUGCAUUCAGGUCUGAGCUCAUCGAGGGUCGCCGCCUCAGAGAAGGCUUCCCUGACUACCCCACUGCCACUCUCUGUCCCCAUCUCCUGCAUACUUCUUCUCUGGGCUUGCUCAGGUCUAAUUAAUGAAUUGCCUGAUGGAUUGAUUGUUUUUCUCCACAACUAGACUUGUCAAUACCAUGGGGAGGAGGCUUGUUCAUCGCGGAAUCUCUGGCACAUUUGGAAAAACCGAGAAAUCAAAACCCACUUCCCAGCUUUGUUGGAAGGAUUGCGUGAGGUAACAUUUGGGAAACAUACGGUUCUUGACAUGUAGUAGACAUUCAAUAAAUGUUCAUUCAUUCCCUUUUCUUGUUUCCUCAGAAGACUCUUCUGUGCUUUGAACCCGUUUCCUGUUUGUAUUUACCCAACAAAUGAAAAGUGUGAUAAGUACUGCAUUCAACUUCAAAACCACACGGCGAUCUCAGCAUGCCAGCAAAUCCAGAGAAGGUUUUCAAGUUUGAGAUUUGCAGCAUCCCACGACUGGCGGGGACCGGGCGCAGCCCGUACAGUCCUUGCGGUCAGCGGAGACGUGAUAAACGAGAAGCGAGGUGUCUCUGUUCCCUUGGACCAAGGCUCCACCCUGAUGAUUUUCGCCGCGGAGGCUGUUAUUUUUAGCACUGCUUUCUUUCGUGUGUCUGUUUAAUCUGUGCACCGGGAUGGGACGUUAGGAAUUCUUGUGCUUCUAUCAGGCAUCAAGUUUGCCUGCUCUGUUUAUGCUGUUACCAGAGUAAAAUUAAUGAGCCGAGAGACUGGGCUCCUUCAGACUAUUUCGUCACCCACUUAGGGUCCUCAGGUUUGGGGGGCGCCGGGAACUCGCGGCCACCGACCACUUGGCCUCUGCACCUGCUCUGUCACUGACAGCCGCUGGAAACCAGGAAAGCCCCCU